UUUCCUUGGGGCCAAAACACACGUUCGGUGAAGUGAAGAAAAAGAGUUAAGGGAAUUUAGAGAGAGAGAGAAACAACCGAGAGAGAGGGAGAGUGUGUAAAAAAAAAAAUUCUUGAAACUCAUUUGCUGGAAAUUGAGUAGGAAAGCUAAGGGAAAAGCUAGGGAAAAGUGAAGAACUGAAGAAAAGUUCAAGAAUUGGCCAAGAAAUUCAUCAAUUUGAAGACUUAAGGUCACGCUCCAUUAUCUGCCUGGUUUAUCUGAUAUGUCCAGUCUGUCUGAUUUGCUUCUGCAGCUAUCUGUGAGCCGGGGCGUGAUUAGGGCCAGAGUUGACGGCCUUCAUUUCU